rfam:Homo sapiens chromosome 6, GRCh38 reference primary assembly.
GUGGAUGUAGUUUAGUGGUAGAACGCGCGCUUUGCAUGUAUGAGGUCCCGGUUUCGAUCCCUGGCGUUUCCA